rnacentral:rRNA from 1 species
AUUGAACGCCGGCGGCAUGCCUUACACAUGCAAGUCGUACGGUAACAGGUUAAGCUGACGAGUGGCGAACGGGUGCGUAAUGCAUCGGAACGUGCCCAGUCGUGGGGGAUAACUGCUCGAAAGAGCAGCUAAUACCGCAUCCGAUCGAUGGAUGCAAGCGGGGGACCGUAAGGCCUCGCGCGACUGGAGCGGCCGAUGCCAGAUUAGGUAGUUGGUGGGGUAAAGGCGCACCCAGCCAACGAUCUGUAGCUAGUCUGAGAGGACGACCAGCCACACUGGGACUGAGACACGGCACAGACUCCUACGGGAGGCAGCAGUGGGGAAUUUUGGACAAUGGGGGCAACCCUGAUCAAGCAAUGCCGCGUGCAGGAAGAAGGCCUUCGGGUUGUAAACUGCUUUUGUACGAAACGAAACGGUCUGGGUUAAUACCCUGGGCUAAUGACGGUACCGUAAGAAUAAGCACCGGCUAACUACGUGCCAGCCGCCGCGGUAA